CAUGGAGGGUGAGAAUCCCGUCCGGCUGACCUUCAGGACGUUUUACGAUACGCUCUCAAAGAGUCGAGUUGUUUGGGAUUGCAGCUCAAAAUGGGAGGUAAAUUUCUCCUAAGGCUAAAUACCGACGAGAGACCGAUAGCGAACAAGUACCGUGAGGGAAAGAUGAAAAGAAUUUUGAAAAGAAAGUCAAACAGUACGUGAAAUUGUUGAAAGGGAAACGAUUGAAGCCAGUCGUACCGACGGGAAUUCAACUUCUCGAGUGCUAAUCGUGGGUGACGUUGAGCCUCACGGCCUUCGUUGCUUGUGUUGUUGGUGCUUUUGGGGUGUACUUUUCCGUAUUGGUAGGUCAGCAUCGAUUUCGAUCGUCAUAAAAUGAUCGGGGGAAUGUAGCUUCGGUCUCGUAUCGGAGUGUUAUAGACCUUGGUAGAUGUGACGAUUGGGAUCGAGGAUUGCAACGAAUACCUUCUGGGCUAUCCGUCUGACCUCUGAAAGUCGCUCGGGUGUCGAAAGCGUGCUUAUGGCUAUUCGAGUUGGCGGUCAAUAGGUUAGAACGUGAUUACAUUCGUUAAGGAUGUUGACGUA
rnacentral:rRNA from 1 species